rnacentral:tRNA from 1 species
AGCAGCGUGGCUCAGUGGAAAGAGCACGGGUUUAGGAGUUAGAGGUCCUGGGUUCAAAUCCUGGCUCUGCCA